rnacentral:rRNA from 1 species
AUGUCUUCCUCCUCCAGCGCCUUCCAACCUAGCCUCAAUGGCCAGGUCACCGAGAAGUUGACGCGCACAAACUAUAUGCUAUGGCGCACGCAGAUCAUUCCCUAGCUGUGCGGCGCUGGGGUCUUCGGCUUUGUCGAUGGCACCCAGCCGGAACCAGCGAAGCUUCUCGUCACCACCAAGGACGGCAAGGAGACUUCAUCGCCCAAGCCUCUCCACCCAAUCUGGGUCAGGGAGGAUCAACAGGUCCUUGGCUAUCUGCUGAACAAUCUGACGCGGGAAAUCCUGUUCACGGUGACCACGGUC